rnacentral:rRNA from 1 species
CUAGUUAAGGCUCCUAAAUAAUUACUCAGUGCUAAAAGAAGUAUAGGUGCAUAGCCAUCCAAAAGGUUUGCCUAGAAACAACCACCAUUGAAAGAAUAUAUAAUGGCUCACAGAUCGAGCACUCUUACACCAAAGAUAAACGAGGUUAAGCAAUUUGUUGAAUUUG